UACGUAGGGACCGAGCGUUGUCCGGAUUCAUUGGGCGUAAAGAGCUCGUAGGCGGCCGCUCAAGUCGAAUGUGAAACCUCGAGGCUCAACCUCGAGCCUGCAUUCGAUACUGGGUGGCUAGAGUCUGGUAGGGGGAGUCUGGAAUUCCUGGUGUAGCGGUGGAAUGCGCAGAUAUCAGGAGGAACACCGGUGGCGAAGGCGGGAUCCUGGGCCAGUACUGACGCUGAGGAGCGAA
rnacentral:rRNA from 1 species